UACGAAGGGGGCUAGCGUUGCUCGGAAUCACUGGGCGUAAAGCGCAUGUAGGCGGCAGCGCAAGUCGGGCGUGAAAUCCCACGGCUCAACCGUGGAAGUGCACUCGAAACUGCGCAGCUAGAGUCCUGGAGAGGAAGGUGGAAUGCUUGGUGUAGAGGUGAAAUUCGUAGAUAUCAAGCGGAACACCGGUGGCGAAGGCGGCCUUCUGGACAGUGACGUGACGGCUGAGAUGCGAAAGCGUGGG
rnacentral:rRNA from 1 species